AUGCUCACUUGGGCAGCACAUCUACUAAAACUGGAAGGAUACAGAGAAGAUUAGCAUGGCCCCUGCACAAAGAUGACAACGCAAAUUCAUGAAGCAUUCUAUAUUUAA
ensembl:snRNA U6 U6 spliceosomal RNA